UCCCUGGUGGUCUAGUGGUUAGGAUUCAGCACUUUCGCUGCUGUGGCCCAGUUUCAAUCCCUGGUCGGGGAA